CAGGGCUGGGAGCAGAGAAACAGGAAGUGGAUUACAGCGAUCAGGAAGUCAUUUGCUAACAAAGCACCUAUUUAGCAAUGAAAAAACUAAUUAGUACUCGUCUUUCUGUCCUGAAAGACAUCAGGGGCGUCACAUCCUUUUGGCCAAGUUAAGAAAACAUGUUUUUUAUUUUAAAAAAUGCUAAACUUCUUUUAUGGUGAAUUUAUUUAUUUGUAUUCCUCAAAAUAGGACCAAAGUGUGCAUUUCAGUAAACACGUGAACAUAGAAAAUGACAGAAAGUGUUGAUCAACAGCCUCGGGAGAGAACAAACUUGUCAUUUUAUAAAUGAAAGUGGGGGUCUCCUAAAUGGCCCCCAGGCGGCAUGCCUGCCUGAAGAGACGGGAAGCAAAUCUGUGAGAAAUGGGGGAAAUACUGAAGUUUGUCUUAACUACUGAGCGUGUGCACAUUUUAGCUGUCAUUUAUGUGACAAUAAAUAAUUAAUUAUCGUCACUCGUGUGCUUUUACACGUCCGAUAUAAAAAGGAACCGUUCCCCCCUGCAGUGUUGGUACAACAUCUAAUUUCGGAGGGAUUAUCUCACGCUAGCAUGCUCUGCUGCUAGCAGGGGUCCAAAAAAGACAUGCGAGAGCCUCCAGGGACACCAAGGCAGGUCAAACAGAGGUGACCUAAAACAAGAGGCGGCUACCGGAUUCAGAAAACGGGAGCACUAAUGUUCCAGGACUGGGAGUGAUGUCGAACACAAGUGAUAACCGUGCGUCUGUUUCACCACCGGAGCCACGGUGUCACUAAGCAGCUGCGGUAUGUGUGGGAGUUAAAAUAAACCUUAUAAACUUUCAUGACAACCAGCAGCGGCUGCUGAAGCCUUCAGUGGAUUCCUCCUCCCACGUGCCUCUGGGGGCUGUGAGUCAGAGUAUUUUUGAGUUGUUCUCGCUGUCAGUCUGCAGUCUCACCACCAUAACAGGUGUUUUCCAUCUUCCGCCGACACGCUGCAGGACGAAAACCUCUCUAAAACCCACUCACACCGUCCAAGGGAAGAAAAUGUCCCCAGGGUUAGAUAAGUGAAAAAAAAGCAUUUUGUAACCGGCGCGGUCAUUCUCCGGGUCUGGCAGCAGUCCGUCUGCUUUAGCUUAGCAUAAACAAUGGAAGUGAGUAGCAGGAGCUAGAGUUUCAUGUGCAAAAGUGAUUAAAAUGACUCAAUAAUGAUACCAAUUAUUCCUGGUGAGCUCAAUAAUAAUGUCGACUGCAAGUGAAAAGUAAGACUUGGGACUACAGUACGACAAAGCGCCGCUGCAAGGCGCACGGAUACGCCACAGCGGUCGGAAAUGCCCCCGGCGGCAGAAAAGAACGGCAGAACCAAAGGGAAGUGCAUCAGCACUAACUUUCCUCUGCAGAUGUUGAACAAAACCUUGAUGUUGGCUCAUCUCUAUAAGAAUCCAGACAGUCCUGUAUGGUUUGUUCUGAACACAUGAGAACAACCAGCUGCAGAUGUGAAACCUUCGUUUCAGUCACACUCCCACAAACCCUAGAUCUUCAUUUGGACGAGCCUCGGGCGCUGCAAGGCAGAUACACAACAAACAGGAAGAGAGUGAAGACAAGAAAGCAAGCGCCAGGGCCCGGAGCUUCUCUCCAGACAACGAGCAGCUUCAUUCAGACGUGACAUGAUAUCUGCUCUGGAAACAGCUGGCACAGCUGCACAUGUCUGGUGGGAGGAAGCAGGACUGCUGUAAUCACCACGCCUCUUAUCUGUGUGCUAUUCUGGCUGAGGUUUCUAGACCAAUCGGAGCGAAACACUUUGAUUAUUUUCUUUAUUUUAAUCCCCGCAACAUAUUUGUAGUUAUACUUUGUUAGAGAAUUGUUAAGAAACAUGAAAAUUUUAAUUAGCUUGUUUUGCAGAUUUGCCAUUGUAGCUUUAAUAAUAAAAAAGACUUAAAGUAACAGUAAAGAGUUUUUUAAAACCUUGAGCUGUUUCUUUGAAACUCAUUUGACUGGCUCUGGAAACAAAAAAUGUGAGACGCUGCACACCGAACAUCGCUCUGAAGCCCUCUGCUGACCAGAAACUGCACUUAGCGUUUAGUGGUUCCGGUUGUGGGAGGUCUCUACCUGCUUUACGGCAAUAGCUUUUCACUGUGCAGGUAGCUAAUAUUAAGGCUGGCAGUUACUUUUUCACUUUGCCGACUGUCAAUAAAAACCACAAGAAGAAGAAGAAGAUUUCUGCAAAGCUAAGAUCUGAAACCAGAGUGAACAUCUACAUGGUCUACUCUAGUAUGAGGGCGCUAAAGGAGGCUACUAAAUCAUGGACUGAUGGUGACCUGGCUUUGUUGCUACUGGACUAAGUAGGAAGUAAUAAUAUUUUUGUCUAACAGCGUGGAUCUUUUUACUUUGUGGUUUAUUUUAUUAUCAGUUGGCUCAUGUUAGCGUUAGCUCGUUGUUAGCACUAGCUACAGCAGGGUUGUUUACGACAGUUGCAAUUCCACUUUCAACCAGUAGGGCAGAGGAGCAGGAAACUUAUAAGUGUUGCUUUAAGAAUAUCAUCUCCGUGUCCCGAUUACAUACAAAAAGAAACUGGAUUUCUUAUAAAAAGUAUUUAUUUCAUUCAUACAAGUACUCUGACUCCUUUUAAAUGAUUAAAAAAAGAUUUGUUUAAGAUCUGCUAGUUCUUUUAUUUUCUCCGUAGCCAUUAAAAAACACAAGAAACUAAGUGUGACUGCUGAAAGAGGAGAGAGGGAUUGUGUGUGUGUGUGUGUGUGUGUGUGUGUGUGUGUGUGUGUGUGUGU